UAAUACGGAGGGUGCAAGCGUUAUCCGGAUUCACUGGGUUUAAAGGGUGCGUAGGUGGGCAGGUAAGUCAGUGGUGAAAUCUCCGGGCUUAACUCGGAAACUGCCGUUGAUACUAUCUGUCUUGAAUAUCGUGGAGGUUAGCGGAAUAUGUCAUGUAGCGGUGAAAUGCUUAGAUAUGACAUAGAACACCCAUUGCGAAGGCAGCUAACUACACGAUCAUUGACACUGAGGCACGAAAGCGUGGGGAGCAAACAGGAUUAGAUACCCUGGUAGUCCACGCCCUAAACGAUGGAUACUCGACAUCAGCGAUACACUGUUGGUGUCUGAGCGAAAGCAUUAAGUAUCCCACCUGGGAAGUACGACCGCAAGGUUG
rnacentral:rRNA from 1 species